rnacentral:rRNA from 1 species
CCUACGGGUGGCAGCAGUGAGGAAUAUUGGUCAAUGGGCGUAAGACUGAACCAGCCAAGUCGCGUGAGGGAUGAAGGUUCUAUGGAUCGUAAACCUCUUUUAUAAGGGAAUAAAGUGCGGGACGUGUCCCGUUUUGUAUGUACCUUAUGAAUAAGGAUCGGCUAAUUCCGUGCCAGCAGCCGCGGUAAUACGGAGGGUCCGAGCGUUAUCCGGAUUUAUUGGGUUUAAAGGGUGCGUAGGCGGCCUUUUAAGCGAGCGGUGAAAGUCUGUGGCUCAACCAUGGAAUUGCCGUGGAAACUGGGUGGCUUGAGUGUGUUGGAGGAAGGCGGAAUGCGUGGUGUAGCGGUGAAAUGCUUAGAUAUCACGAAGAACCCCGAUUGCGAAGGCAGCCUGCGGAGGCAUGACUGACGCUGAUGCACGAAGGCGUGGGGAUCAAACAGGAUUAGAUACCCGGGUAGUC